rnacentral:rRNA from 1 species
GACGAACCGAGCGAACGUUGUUCGGAAUCACUGGGCUUAAAGGGCGCGUAGGCGGGUGCUCAAGUCCGUGGUGAAAUCCCACGGCUCACCCGUGGAACUGCUGGGUAUACUGGCGAUCUUGGGCCAACUAGGGGCAGCUGGAACAAGCGGUGGAGCGGUGAAAUGCGUAGAUAUCGCUUGGAACGCCAAAGGUGAAAACAGGCUGCUGGGGUUGUGCCGACGCUGAGACACGAAAGCCAGGGGAGCAAACGGG